GGGGCAUAGGCACUAAAGCAACAAGACAAUAGAAUCCUACAUCUUGCCCAAGAUAAUUAGCUUACAUGCUGAUGACAAGGGACAUCACUUCUCACAGAUGAGGGGUCUGGAGAGGAAGAGUGGGGAAUGUGGUCAGACUCAAAGAUUUGGACAGGUGAACUCAGACUGGAGCCCUACACAAUAGACCUCCAAGGUUCCAGGCAAAGAAGGCUGCUGAGGUAAUACAAUUAGAUAAUGUCCUGCAUUGACGUAUGGAAGGAUAAGAUUGACUGCCACCUACAUCAGUAAUUAUAUAUGCAUUGUUUUCCACAACUGGAUCCGGAAUAAAUCAUUUACAACAUUGCUUUGGAAUAACAUUGUCUUCAGAAGCAAGCAAGUACCUUAGGGCCUAACCAAAGAUGAGAAAAGGAAUUCCUAGCCAACCAUAAAUAUUUGGUGUCAUAACAGACAGGGACGUUUGGACCCCUUGAACUUCACAGGAGACACCCUACAAGGAUGUAUAGUUGCCUACUGUCACCCUCUGAGACUUAUCCAAAGAAUGAGCAGAAAGAUAUUGCUACAUUCCAAUGUAAUAGCAUGCCUACUCAAGUCAUGUAAACCCAAUGUAAGCGAGCUUCUUGGAACCUCUAUUUCUGUAAUCUUGGGUAGUGAUGUUCCUUAUUCUUUUUUAUUCUUUUUUCUUUCAUCCUCUUCUGUGUCUUUUUCUUGGUCAUUGUCAUUUUGUCAGCAGUAUAAUUAAGUCUCUAAACAAAAUAUAUAAGUGCAAUGGCUAUUCAUGCCAACAGCUGUUAUAAUACUGAUAUCUAAACAAAGAAUUAGUACACCACUGACACAAAAUACAUGGACUAUGAAUUGACUAUUUAACACUUCUGUUUCUUUCUUACACCUGACUUAGAAUCUGGUAUACAUAUGUAAAAAUACAGUGUAUUGCUUACUAUUACAGUAAGCGUGUGUCACUGUUAA